rnacentral:rRNA from 1 species
GUGAACGCUGGCGGUAGGCCUAACACAUGCAAGUCGCACGGCAGCACAGUAAGAGCUUGCUCUUACGGGUGGCGAGUGGCGGACGGGGGAGGAAUACAUCGGAAUCUACUUUUUCGUGGGGGAUAACGUAGGGAAACUUACGCUAAUACCGCAUACGACCUACGGGUGAAAGCAGGGGAUCUUCGGACCUUGCGCGAUUGAAUGAGCCGAUGUCGGAUUAGCUAGUUGGCGGGGUAAAGGCCCACCAAGGCGACGAUCCGUAGCUGGUCUGAGAGGAUGAUCAGCCACACUGGAACUGAGACACGGUCCAGACUCCUACGGGAGGCAGCAGUGGGGAAUAUUGGACAAUGGGCGCAAGCCUGAUCCAGCCAUACCGCGUGGGUGAAGAAGGCCUUCGGGUUGUAAAGCCCUUUUGUUGGGAAAGAAAAGCAGCAGGUUAAUACCCCGCUGUUCUGACGGUACCCAAAGAAUAAGCACCGGCUAACUUCGUG